CUCCCGCUUUAAUGGGGCAUUGCCUCCCCUCUGAAUUAUUUACUGUGUUCUCUGAGUGUAGAUGAUUGUAAUGGACUGAACUGGAUAAUGGGGAGCAGCUAAUAUAUGGCUAAGGUGAUGAUGAUAAUGCUGAGAAUGGUUGUGAUGGUGUUGCAGUGUUGGUGAUAAUGACGGUGGUGGUGGUGAUGACGGUGGUGAUGGUAAUGAAACGUGAACUUAUUUAAACGGACAUCUGCGUUCAGGGCUGGCCUGCCUACGAUCCAUCCCGGGUUAAACCAGACUGGAUCACAGUGUGAGGAGCUGGCAGAUCCUUGAAAGAUCUGAACACGGUGCCAUCGGUGAGCUCCUCCAGGAGGCGAGGCUGCGUUGGCUGGGUCAAGGAGCCACCGCACGCCCAGGCAGCUUCUGUUUGGCCGGAGAGAGGGGCCUCAGGGCGCACGACACGGGCAAGAGAAGAGUGCGGAUGCAUCGACGUGCACGAUCGGACACCCUUUGCAGAAGUGUGGGUGGGAAAGUGCUGCCCCCCCCCCACCGCGUCGGCAGAGAUUUGCCGAAGGGGACGCCGGGACGGAGGUCACCAACAUGGACGAGGAUGCGGGCACGGCUCAAGAUGAGCAGCAGGAGGAGGAGGAACGCUGAUCAGGAGGAGGAGAGAGACGAUGUCUCGCAUGCUGAGAGGGCGACGAUGAACUGCACGGAGGAGCAGCGCCUGUUGUUUUAACAGGGGACGGGCGAGAGGUUAUUUUAUUGUUUUAUUUGACGAGGUAAAACCCAUGCUGAGCUACGUAGCUCUUUUCAGAAGCGACCUGGCCGUCACAGAUGAUGGAUCGACGCAGUUGUCUCGUCGCGUGGAAAUGUACAGCAGCAGCAGCAGCUACAUUCUCUAAACGCGUUGCGGCGUUGUUG